CAAAACCCCUGUGAACAUACCAAUUGUUGCCUCGGCGGAUCAGCCCGCUCCCGGUAAAACGGGACGGCCCGCCAGAGGACCCCUAAACUCUGUUUCUAUAUGUAACUUCUGAGUAAAACCAUAAAUAAAUCAAAACUUUCAACAACGGAUCUCUUGGUUCUGGCAUCGAUGAAGAACGCAGCAAAAUGCGAUAAGUAAUGUGAAUUGCAGAAUUCAGUGAAUCAUCGAAUCUUUGAACGCACAUUGCGCCCGCCAGUAUUCUGGCGGGCAUGCCUGUUCGAGCGUCAUUUCAACCCUCAAGCCCCCGGGUUUGGUGUUGGGGAUCGGCGAGCCCUUGCGGCAAGCCGGCCCCGAAAUCUAGUGGCGGUCUCGCUGCAGCUUCCAUUGCGUAGUAGUAAAACCCUCGCAACUGGUACGCGGCGCGGCCAAGCCGUUAAACCCCCAACUUCUGAAUGUUGACCUCGGAUCAGGUAGGAAUACCCGCUGAACUUAAGCAUAUCAAUAAGCGGAGGAA
rnacentral:rRNA from 1 species